rnacentral:lncRNA from 1 species
ACUACCUCCAAUUGACUUUUGACAACCCCCUUCAUUUGCUUAUGUUUAGGCUCUGGGAAAAGGGGCAGGCCAUGUUGCAUGUGACCUGGGGGUCCAGGGUCCGAGUAUGGUCCCUGGUGCCUGCUCUCCUCGGGACUCCCCGGGCUCUGUCGUCCCUGGAGAACAGGAUGGGGGCGUACCGCAAGAUGUGGAACCCCAAGGAGCCCUGCAACUGGGCCCAGCAGUACCGCGAGCGCUUCAUUCCAUUCUCCAGGGAGCAGCUGCUCCGCCUCCUGAUACAGGUACCGCCCAUCCGUGGUCUAAGAGCCUAGUGACUACAAUUUCCAGCUGACCUUGCGACUGCACCACUAUACCUGCUUUUGAGAACAGCUCUAGCGCCUCCUGGGAGUUGUAGUUUCUAGUCUCCUUAGCAUUCCUAGUGGGUGCGAGAGAGUUGGAAUGCAGGGGCAAGAAAGAGCUCAAAUAUGAGAUACCUAAUGAGCUCUGGAUUUGAGCUUCUUCUGGGGGCCUUGAACAGGCACUCCGGGACAUGAGUUUUUCCCUUGAAAUAGAUAUAACUAUCAUCCUCAACAUUACUUUCUACUACGUAAUAAAUUUGUACCUGCAAAGC